UACCUGCGGAGGGAUCAUUACUGAGUUUACGCUCUACAACCCUUUGUGAACAUACCUAUAACUGUUGCUUCGGCGGGUAGGGUCUCCGCGACCCUCCCGGCCUCCCGCCUCCGGGCGGGUCGGCGCCCGCCGGAGGAUAACCAAACUCUGAUUUAACGACGUUUCUUCUGAGUGGUACAAGCAAAUAAUCAAAACUUUUAACAACGGAUCUCUUGGUUCUGGCAUCGAUGAAGAACGCAGCGAAAUGCGAUAAGUAAUGUGAAUUGCAGAAUUCAGUGAAUCAUCGAAUCUUUGAACGCACAUUGCGCCCGCCAGCAUUCUGGCGGGCAUGCCUGUUCGAGCGUCAUUUCAACCCUCAAGCUCUGCUUGGUGUUGGGGCCCUACAGCUGAUGUAGGCCCUCAAAGGUAGUGGCGGACCCUCCCGGAGCCUCCUUUGCGUAGUAACUUUACGUCUCGCACUGGGAUCCGGAGGGACUCUUGCCGUAAAACCCCCAAUUUUCCAAAGGUUGACCUCGGAUCAGGUAGGAAUACCCGCUGAACUUAAGCAUAUCAAA
rnacentral:rRNA from 1 species